AACGAACGCUGGCGGCAGGCCUAACACAUGCAAGUCGAGCGAAGCCUUCGGGCUUAGCGGCGGACGGGUGGGUAACGCGUGGGAACGUGCCCUUUGGUACGGAAUAGCCCCGGGAAACUGGGAGUAAUACCGUAUGUGGUCGAGAGACGAAAGAUUUAUCGCCAAAGGAUCGGCCCGCGUUGGAUUAGGUAGUUGGUGGGUAAUGGCCUACCAAGCCGACGAUCCAUAGCUGGGUUGAGAGGAUGAUCAGCCACACUGGGACUGAGACACGGCCCAGACUCCUACGGGAGGCAGCAGUGGGGAAUCUUAGACAAUGGGGGAAACCCUGAUCUAGCCAUGCCGCGUGAUCGAUGAAGGCCUUAGGGUUGUAAAGAUCUUUCAGUGGGGAAGAUAAUGACUGUACCCACAGAAGAAGCCCCGGCUAACUCCGUGCCAGCAGCCGCCGCAGUAA
rnacentral:rRNA from 1 species